rnacentral:sRNA from 1 species
UCAUACAAACGCUUGAUUCACGCAUGAUAGACU